CCAGAUUCAAACUAGCAGGAACAGUUGGUCUUUGGCAGCAGGGAUACCUUAGAGCUGAGCUGCCACUCACCCAGAGGUGGUCCCAUGCCACCCACUGUCUGGGUCAAGGUUGGGGCAGGGCUGGUGUCCUGAACUGCAUUCUGAUGGGGCCCCAGUGGCUGCUGGUGCUGAAUGCCUUGCAAGAGAACGCUGAGGCCAACAGCCGCUGGCAGCGGCUCACCCAGGUUAUGUGUACUGUGCCCUUCUGUGUGCGAGUGACAAUUACAGGUGCUCCCUCCUCAGGAGGUGAGGAAGAUGGGAGGAUGAGUCUAAGACACAGGU
rnacentral:lncRNA from 1 species